rnacentral:lncRNA from 1 species
UGGAUUGUCGCUGUUAACACUCUCUCUCAGUGAUCCCCUUUCAAGCGAACGGAGAAUUUUGGCACUUUUGGAUUUUGGUUUUGAAGAGGUGGGUCAGAUCUGACAGCUGCCUCACAAUUCUGAAUUGUUAAACUCUCUAUCUAAUAUCCGUUAUCGAUUGUUAUUUUCUGUCUACACCACUCCAUCUUUCUCAGCUCCAACUGAAGCUUCUUGUGAACUGUGUUUUUGUCUUCGAAAUCUUUUCUCCCUCGAAACUUACAGGAGAAAACCCUACUUUUCACAUAUUUUACAAAUAAAUACAUAAAUUUAUCCAUCAUCUCAAUUUGGUCUCUUUUCUUUUAUUCUUCCAACCCCAUUAGACAUACCUAAACAGAUUAUAUAACACGAAUUUAUCAUCUUACCGAGGAUU